rnacentral:rRNA from 1 species
CCUACGGGAGGCAGCAGUGAGGAAUAUUGGUCAAUGGGCGGGAGCCUGAACCAGCCAAGCCGCGUGAGGGAAGAAGGUACAGCGUAUCGUAAACCUCUUUUGUCAGGGAACAAAGGCGGGGACUAGUCCCCGGAUGAGGGUACCUGAAGAAAAAGCAUCGGCUAACUCCGUGCCAGCAGCCGCGGUAAUACGGAGGAUGCGAGCGUUAUCCGGAUUUAUUGGGUUUAAAGGGUGCGCAGGCGGAAGAUCAAGUCAGCGGUAAAAUUGAGAGGCUCAACCUCUUCGAGCCGUUGAAACUGGUUUUU